rnacentral:rRNA from 1 species
GGGUUGUGAGGUUAAGCGACUAAGCGUACACGGUGGAUGCCCUGGCAGUCAGAGGCGAUGAAGGACGUGCUAAUCUGCGAUAAGCGCCGGUAAGGUGAUAUGAACCGUUAUAACCGGCGAUUUCCGAAUGGGGAAACCCAGUGUGAUUCGUCACACUAUCAUUAACUGAAUCCAUAGGUUAAUGAGGCGAACCGGGGGAACUGAAACAUCUAAGUACCCCGAGGAAAAGAAA